CCAAAAACGGUUAAUCCUUUAAAGACCAUUUGUUCUGGUGCUACCUUUAUAUAUUGUACGUCAACAUGGAAUUUAUAGAUCCACCAGUUGAGAAAAUUUAUAAUCUAAGAAAUUAGGAAUAUGUUCACAAUUUGCGUAAAUGACUAUUAAAGUGCCAGCAGUCGCGGUCAUACUUUAGUUGCAAUAAAGUAAAUUAGGAUAUGUGUAAGUAACUUAAUACCUGUAGUGAAAUACGGUAGAGUAACUUAAAUACUUAAAAUCCAAUUAAUACUGGUUCCAAACAGGGAUUAGAUACCCCUUUAUGCAGUAAGUAAAUCACAUCCUGGGCACUACAAUUUAUAAUUUAAACCCAACGAACAUGGCGGUAGUUUAAAUAUUUAGGGGAACUUACUAAAUAAUUGAUAACCACCAAGAUUAUGCACGUCAAGCAAUAUUUUACAUACCGUCGUCGUCAGAUAUUCUAAGAUAGAAUGUCAAGAUAUACAUUAAUAAAAGGACAGAUCAAGGUGUAGACUAUCUUCACGUUCAAGCGAGUUACAAUAUUUUUUUUUUUCGUAAACUAGUUAUAUAAUUACUUACAGUCGGACUUAAAAGUAAUAGUUAUGGAAAAUACAGUAUGAAUACUUUUAACCUGUGU
rnacentral:rRNA from 1 species